ensembl:lncRNA
AAAUGGUAAAUUUUAUGUAUAUUUUACUAUGAUGAAAAGCACAAUGACUAUGUAGUGUUUGGAUCUACUCUAAACACUUGGAAGUUUUAUAAAAUAUACAAAAUAUUUUAAAAAUGCAGUUAUACUUGACAGCUUGAAGUUUGUAUCUGACACCUUGGAAGUUACGCAGUGAUAACCAACAACCUCCAAAUUUAAUUUCUUACAGUUGCAAAGGCUUGUUUUUUGCUCAUGUUACCUGUCUUGUGCAGAUUGACCAUGAUUCUGUGCCAUAUCCUCUUCAUUUCAGCACCCAGGAUGAAGGCGUGGUCUCUGCCUGGGUUGUUGCUGUUCUUGUGUCAGAGGACAAAGAGAAGACAGUGGAAGCACUCAGACUCUUGGAGUGUCUGCUCAGAAAUGUCACACUUCAUCUUAAUCCACAUUUUUUAUUGACAAAGCUAGUCACAUGACCCAGCCUGACAUUCCUGGGGUAAGAAAAUAUAAUCCUCCUACAGUGAGGGGCAGUGAAUAAUUGUGAGCAGCAAUACAAAUACCUUAGGGUUGUAACCAGAAAUAUGACAUUUGUCUGUGGCCAUGGGAGGAAGGGAAGGCGUCUAAGCCCACACCCAGCCACCACAGACCUCCGCUGUUCUGCUCUUGUAUGUACACGUGUGAUUGGGCAAAGCUAAGCUAUAUCCAGAACUCCAGCUGUAACAGUCUGGGAAAGGUGACUGAUUGAUUGAUUUUGCCUUUCAGUCCCAGUAAUUGAGAGGGAAACAGAGAAUUAGGUGGGAAUGAAUGUCAAGUGGCAAUUGACUAUAUCACGCACAAUUACCUGAGAAUCCACCUAAUAAAUGUAUAAGACCUUUCUGAAGAAAACUUUAAAAUAUUGCUGAAGGAGACUAUGGGAGACCUGAAUGAAUGAAACCAUUCCAUGUUCUUGGAUCAGAAGGCAUAAUAUCACACUUAAUUAUAAAAGUGAUGCAGGAACAAUAAAAAAUGACAGCUCUUCUUCAAAAGUGGAACUGCUGACGCUGUGAUUCAUAUGAAAUAGGAACAGUGAGGAAAACUGAAAGUCGAUCAGUGAAUGGGAAACAGCCCUUCCAGACCUUAAAGCACACAAACUCUCAAAAACGAAGUGUAUUGACGAGUGAAGACAAAGCAAUGAAACUGAAUAAAAAAUUGUAAAGGAUUACAGUACAUAAGAAAAUGUUUAUAUAUGUUAAAAGGACUAUCCCAAAUCAAUGGGAAAAAAAUUACCAUAUGGGAAAAAAAAGUUGAAUCCCUACCACAAAGCAUGUACCACAAAAGCUCCAAAUAGAUAAUAAUAAAAGAUAAAUGUACAACAUAAAACCAUAAAAGUAGAAGGAAACAUGAGAUUUCCUUCAUAACUGAAAUGAAGAAAGUCUGGCUUUGACCAUAAAGUUCUGCAUAGGGGGAAAAAAGGGAGGGAAUGGGGGAAGAAAAGGAAGAAGCCACCAUAGUAAGCAAGUCAAAGUCAAAAGACAAAUGAGAAAUAAAGGAAAACAGUGACCACAAAACCCUGUAAAAUACACAAAAUAUCAAACACUGAAGGAUGCUGAUAAAGCAGUGUAUUUAGGAGGAAGAUUGAAAACAUUGUUUAGGGUUCAGCUUAAGGCUAGAGAACAAAAAGACUAGACACUGAACCCAACAAAUGCAGAAAAGACAGAAGAAUAAAGGUAAAGCAUGGAUUGAUGAAACAACAAACAAAAGAGGAUCCAUAAAACCCAAAGCAGGAGUUUUUUUUUUUUUUUUUUUUUUUAAUAGGCAGCUAUCUAGCAAACCAAUUGAGAAAAUAGAGAAGGGAGGCAGGGAUAAACAAUCUUAGGUUAACAGAGUGCACAUAACUGCACAUACAGUAGAGAUUUUUAAAAAAUCACAAGAAGAUGGACUAGAUAUAGUUGAUUGGCGGUUGGCAGUUAUUUCCACCUCCUUCGAGUGUGUGUUCCUGACUGCAGAGGCUGGAAAGAUGAAAACAGCAUUUCAAGGAGCUUCCUAGAUGAGAGUUUAGAUUUUGCCAGUAGCUGCUCUUGUGUAGGAUUUGGUUGGCAGAAGAGAAGCUGUAGUCAUGAUCCUUUUGACUGCCUUCUUUGGCUGCCAGACAAAUCCUCGGAGUGCAGGAUUCAGCUUUGAAGGUGUUGGUAGGGGUAGCUGUCCUUGCAGAACCUGGAGUUAGCUGUGGCUUCCCAAUUCUGGGUUGCAGCCAUUGCUGUGUGUUCCUGAAUUCACCUGUCCUUAUGCAGCCUCUGGUUCCCCAUCUUCCUGAUGGUGGCAGAGCUGGCAGUUUCUCAGGAGGGUCAGUUCUAGACUGUUCUGGGGAGUCAUUUCUGGGGGGCCUACCCAGAGCUCACUCCUCCAGCCCCGUUUCAACAAUUUUGUAAGCACUUGGUUCGUUGUAUUAAAUCAGUGCUUCCUGUUCCUUGCGCAGAUACAACUGAUGAACAGAAUACUAUCAACAAUUCUGUGCCAAGAAAUUUGAAAACUUAAGUGAAUGGAUAACUUCCCAGAAAAUAUAAAUUAC